GGUUGAUCCCGCCGGACCCCAGUGCUAUCGGGAUGGGACUAAGACAUGCUAGUCGAGCGUCUUCAAGCUAUGAUGGAGACGCGGCACACAGCUCAGUAACACGUGGCUAACCUGCCCUUGAGACAGGGACAACCCCGGGAAACUGGGGCUAAUCCCUGAUGAGUGAGAACUCCUGGAAUGGAUUCUCGCCGAAAGGGCGUCUAGGGCACGCUUCUAGGCGUCGCCCAAGGAAGGGGCCGCGGCCGAUCAGGCUGUUGGUGAGGUAACGGCUCACCAAACCUUUAACCGGUACGGGCCGUAAGAGCGGGAGCCCGGAGAUGGGCACUGAGAUAAGGGCCCAGCCCCUACGGGGCGCAGCAGUCGCGAAAACUCCGCAAUACACGAAAGUGUGACGGGGCUAUCCCGAGUGCCGUCCGCUGAGGAUGGCUUUUCCCUAGUGUAUAAAGCUGGGGGAAUAAGGAGAGGGCAAGACUGGUGUCAGCCGCCCGCGGUAA
rnacentral:rRNA from 1 species